AACAGGUUGUCUACAAGCUAACUCAGCCUCAUAUACGCAGGCUUGUUGUGAAGGCCUGCAUACCUCCUUGCCGCACAGCCCUCAGUUGUGCUUUGGAAUUGCAAUAAUCUUGUAAGGCAGGUCAGUAGCAGUCCUCUCUAUACUUAUCUAGGAAGCAGCACUCAGAAAGAAAUAUGGUAUGAUUUGUGCCCCUUCACCCUGCACACAUUGCUGGCUUUCCUCUCUGGCAGCACAACCUACAAUUUAUUAUAGCUGUUGUAUGGACAGAAAGAGAACUUGAGGAGACUUUGCACAGGUCUGCGGGGCUUCAGGUGCACCUUGAAAGGCAUGAAAUCAUCUAAUGAAACUUCUGUCAGAAACAAAUUUUAUAUAAAACCUGACAUUUGUUAAGACCACCUCUCGGAAGGGGAUGUUUGCUUUCAGUUGUUUAUAUGCACCCCAAUAACCCCAGUCUCAGAAAAUUUUCUUGUGCAAAAACUUUUUGUACAAAUCCUAGACUAGUGGCACUCAGAGUAGACCCAACGAAGUUAAUAGGUACAACUAAGAUUAAUGCUAUUCUUUAAAAUUAGCUGAAUGCAACUCUUAAUUGAAAAGUGUCUUCUUGCAAAUUAAUGCCCUCUUGCAAAAUAAUUUGGCAUGUGGAGCAUACAUGCGACUAUCAAAGAAUCACUGGAGAGAAUAAUUUUCAAACUACACAAGCCAAACAUCUGCACUAUCCCUCAUUUUCUAAAAUUAGAGCAAUCUAAACUGUUGUAUAUAAUCAAGAGCACUCAGUACUAAUAUUGUGAUUAUUUGGCAGAAGUAGCUAUAGCUAAGAGCUGUUCCUAGGAAUUAUGCCAAGACUAAUCUUGAAAAGGAGAACUGUUUGGCUGUAUACCAUCAAGAGCCAGGGCAGAGGAAGGGGGGAAAUGGAGGUUAUGGAGCUUGGUUUGAUUUUAAUGAAUUUCUAGGUUCUUUAUUGUGUAACCAUCAGAAUUAUUUUUUGAAAGUGUAGAAAACAGAGAUACCACAAAUGAAGCCUAAUGCUAUGGAGUAAGCUCCACUGACCCCAUUAGGGCUUAUUUUAAAAUAAGUAUACACCAAAUCGGAGGAAAGUCAUGUAUUUAAAAGGGAAGAUCAUUAUAUAACCUUAUUGUAGGAGCUACAGAGAAAAGAAACUGGCCACCUUCUCUAAGUUUUGUUCCAAUACCUUCUUGUUAUAUUUCUUCUAGAGUUGUGAGUUGAAGCUGUUGGCAAGCCAGGAUAAUAUCUGACAGAUUAGCCAGCAGGGACCUCUCCAUGAAUGGCUCUUUGCCCAUGUGCUUCCCAACAAUGAUUGCUCAUGCAAAAUUCUUAAAGGAAGAUACUCUGGGGGAUUUCAAAUGCAUGCCAAGCGGCAUCACCAGCUGAGCUCAAAAUUUCCAUCUGCAAGCAGAGACAAGCAUGUUGUUUGGAUGUAAAUUCCACUGAAAUGAAUGGGGCUUGCUUACAACUGAAUAUGUUUAAGAUCUGGUUACAGGAGCAGAUGUGUUGUGUUUAUUUCUCCUCCCCCAGAAAACCAGCUGCUUCUCACGGCAAGUUAAAUAUGCAUGAUAGUGAAUUAGUUAACGGUAGAGUCUCAAUGGGUCUUAUUAUCGUAUCAUACCUGAAGCACAUCUCUACAAACUCCCAAAGAUUCUGUGAGGAUUCACCAAAUGUUAACAGAUCCAUGUUAAGCUGUAAUGUUUUUAGUUAACUCCACAUUAUCCACAACGUAAAAGACUGUCAGUCAGAAAAUACAGUGUUCGUGGUAAUGCUUUAUAGUGCACAGUUGCCUUCCUGAGAAUGUCUGCCUGCCUCAUUUCCCUCCCCAAGUUCUCAGAAUAGCCACCGUUGUGUAUUUUUUCAUGCACCCAGCAUGACACACGUGAGAUACAGACUUGCACAGCUAGACAAAGAAAAUAGGUUGCAUUUCAGUCCCGACUUUUGUGUGAAAGUGCCCCGGGGGACACUGUCAUGCGGAAGUAUGAAUAUAUGAUAAGACCAAGCCAUAAAGUUGCUCACAAAAAAGAAAAAGAAAAAUGCUUUUCAGUUCAGUGAUAAGAAAUUGUGACAGUAUUGAAAAUAGAAAGUAUGCCCAUCCCUAAGGGCUUUUGUAAGAUAACACAACAAACACAUUCUGAUAAAAACCAUCAGUGCUGAGUAAUGCUUGACGCUGCCAUUCCAAUUCACUCAUAAGCUGGUCUGGAAACAAAAUAGCAUGGCUGGGCUCCAUUCUCCAAUUUGUAGGUAUAAACUUGGGCUAAUCUGAAAUCAUGAGUAUCUGCAGGGGGAAUGGGCAACAGAGGGCACCUGCCCUGCCUCACUGGAAUCAUAUAUAAACACAGAGAUACACUACGGUUGCCAGAUUUUUUUCAAUGAAUCCGGGGACACAUUUUUUUUAAAAAAAAAUUGGAAGCUGAGUAGUAGCAACAGGGAGUCA